GAUGAAGAACGUAGCGAAAUGCGAUAAGUAAUGUGAAUUGCAGAAUUCAGUGAAUCAUCGAAUCUUUGAACGCACAUUGCGCCCCUUGGUAUUCCGAGGGGCAUGCCUGUUCGAGCGUCAUUAUAACCCCUCAAGCUCAGCUUGGUGUUGGGGCCUGCUGCACUGGCAGCCCUUAAAAUCAGUGGCGGCGCCAUCUGGCUCUAAGCGUAGUAAUUCUUCUCGCUAUGGAGUCCUGGUGGAUGCUUGCCAUCAACCCCCAAUUUUUCUAUGGUUGACCUCGGAUCAGGCGGGGCUACCCGCUGAAUUUAAGCAUAUCAAUAAGCGGAGGA
rnacentral:misc_RNA from 1 species